UACGUAGGGUGCAAGCGUUGUCCGGAAUUAUUGGGCGUAAAGAGCUCGUAGGCGGUCUGUCGCGUCUGCUGUGAAAACUCGGGGCUUAACCCCGGGCCUGCAGUGGGUACGGGCAGACUAGAGUGCGGUAGGGGAGACUGGAAUUCCUGGUGUAGCGGUGGAAUGCGCAGAUAUCAGGAGGAACACCGAUGGCGAAGGCAGGUCUCUGGGCCAUUACUGACACUGGAGAAAGCGGAAAGCAUGGGGAGCGAACAGG
rnacentral:rRNA from 1 species